rnacentral:rRNA from 1 species
CCCUUAGACGUUCUGGGCCGCACGCGCGCUACACUGACCAGUGCAACAAGCAUCCGUCCUUGGCCGACAGGCUCGGGCAAUCUUUGAACGCUGGUCGUGAUGGGGAUAGACUUUUGCAAUUUUUGGUCUUCAACGAGGAAUUCCUAGUAAACGCAAGUCAUCAACUUGCAUUGAUUACGUCCCUGCCCUUUGUACACACCGCCCGUCGCACCUACCGAUUGGAUGGUCCGGUGAAGCCUCGGGAUUGUGGUUCUUGCCGCUUUAUUGUGGCGUGACCGCGAGAACUUGUCUAAACCUUAUCAUCUAGAGGAAGGUGAAGUCGUAACA